rnacentral:rRNA from 1 species
GACGAACGCUGGCGGCGUGCCUAAUACAUGCAAGUUGAGCGCUGAAGGUUGGUACUUGUGCCAACUGGGUGAGCAGCGCACGUGUGAGUAACGCGUGUGGCAUCUGCCUUUGAGCGGGGGACCACAUUUGAAAACGAAUGCUAAUACCGCAUAAAAACUUUAAACACAAGUUUUAAGUUUGAAAGAUGCAGUUUCAUCACUCAAAGAUGAUCCAGCGUUGUAUUAGCUAGUUGGUGAGGUAAAGGCUCACCAAGGCGGUGAUACAUAGCCGACCUGAGGGGGUGAGCGGCCACAUUGGGACGGAGACACGGCCCAAACUCCUACGGGAGGCAGCAGUAGGGAAUCGUGGGCAAUGGACGAAAGUCUGACCGAGCAAGGCCGCGUGAGUGAAGAAGGGUUUCGGAUCGUAAAACUCUGUUGGUAGAGAAGAACGGUGGUGAGAGUGGAAAGCUCAUCAAGUGACGGUAACUACACAGAAAGGGACGGCUAACUACGUG